GGUAAUGUAGCUCAGUAGUAGAACAUCUGCUUUCUAUGCAGGAGGUCCCAGGUUCAAUCCCUGGCAUCUCCA